CGAGCCUGAAAAAGCGUCAAUGGAGCGUAAAUCAAUCCCGCACACGCGCCCCCCUCCCUAUCCUCUCUCUCUGCCUCUCUCUCUCCGUGUCUCUGUCUCUCUAAUAGAUUGCCUCCUUCUAAAUAAAUUGUCUUGUUUAUAUGCAAUAUGCAAAAUGAACACUUCGUGCGUAUAUCUAGUCUGCGUAUCUAUGGCUGCUGUCAGGCUGGAAUUAUAGAAAAGCGUUAAAUUAUGUGUCGUCUGGACAGUAUGUAUGAAAUGCAAAGUUGAGACAAUGGCUGACAAAUAAGUGGUGCCAUUAUUUUUUAUGUAUUUAUCUUUUUUUUUACCUAAGCAACAUAGAUGCACGUGUAUUUCACUUUGAAGCUGGAAAAAAACGAAUAGCCGAGAGAACAUCCAGUCUUGCUGAAUUGUGCACAAGCAAUCACUUAAAUCAAUCUCAGCAUCGGGGAGUCUGCAUUUAAAACACUAUAAGCACCAAUAGUCCAACACUUAAGGCGAGUCAACAGCAGAGAUAUUUUCCUUCCAAGAUAAGAUAGAUGGUAAAACUCGCACCCAGGUAUGUUUAAUUAUUCACCCGCUUUCUGGGUCCACUUGGAAGCUUUUCUCUGAGCUGUAGAGCCGCCCGACACUGCUUUUAUUGGCAGAUUAACAGUCAUUUUUGUUAACGAGCGCCAUUAAAUCGGGUCCUGCGUGGUUAUGCUGCUUGUCUUUACAGCGCAAACUACUUCAACUACUUUUUUGGGGUCCGUUUAAUACCAUAAUAAAAUCGUACAUCAGGGCGGCUGCUCUGCUUUUAUAGGGCUGAUAUAUGGCCUGUGGUGGUGCGGACCGUAAACGCGGCCGAGUCUGCUGCAGCCUUCCUGCCGGUCGGCUGAAGGGCGCUUCUCACUCAUCGGUCAGGCUGCCAGGAGCGAACACAGCUCGGACCGGAGCUCGGUGGAGGCACCGGGGGAGGCUGGAAGCACGGAUUUGUGUCCGCUUGUACUCGCUCAGCAAUGUUUGAGGGAUAAAAUCACGCUUUUAAUGAGGAGACUGGAGAGUCAGCAUCACUCUGGACUGCUCAGACAUUUGACUUCCAUCUGACCUUUGUCAAAGUCACCGGGAUCACUAAAGAACUACAGACUCUUCACAACCUGCUCAAACUCUUGGUACAGGACCUCACCACACAGGUCAAGAAGGUUUCCGUCUCAUUUCUACUCUGAAGCUCACCUUCUCCUGCUCAAACUGCUGACAAAUGUUUCUGCUGCUCUAAAGUCUGGUCUCCAGAACUUCCUAAAAACUCUCAAAGUCUCUUCUGCUGCAGGUUGCUUUGUAGAACUGUUCCAGAAAACCUCACUAAAUCACAUGGAGGGGCCUCAAGAUAGUCAUCCAAAUGAAACUGUACAAAAACCAAACUAGCACAAUCCAAACACUAAAGUCUCCUGCAGCCUACCAGAGAACCUCUGAGAACAGAGAAUCAGGACAGGAACUCUUACCUUCUGGACAACCAACGUUGCUUCUCAAACAAGAAUACAGAAUGUGUCUGACCAGAAACCUCUGAAGACUCACUACAGCCAACACAAAGACACAACUCAGCUGUACCAAAUCCACUAAUCACUGCACACAUUAGAACCAUGUGCUAACUGUGGCUAAAGAACCACAUUUACCAAGACAACUAUCCAGUACAAAGCCCUAAAACACACCAAGAAACACAUUAAAGACUAUUUUACUGCUGGAAGCUGCAAGCCAACACCUAAAGAACACACUAAAGCAACGGAAACAAACCCGGUUCUGUGGUGAAGAGAAGCAGAGGAAAUGUUUGUCUGCAGCUAAAUAAAGCAGGAAGACACUGAGCUGCUCAGGUGUUCCUGAUAACACCAAGCAGCCACCUGGACAGCCAAUAGGAACACAGCCACCUGGACAGCCAAUAGGAACACAGCUUCCUGGAAGUCCAGAGGGCUGGGUUAGUCAAGGAAAUUUAAUUUAAAGUUGAAGCAGAAAGUUAACAAAGAAAGUUGAAAACCACCUUCUGAUCCCUGAAAUCUCUGAGUUUUCACACAAAGAACACCUGAACAUGUCAAACUGGUUCCAUAGUAGAACCCUCAUUGUAAAAACAUCAUAGUAUGGUGUGUUGCUCAAAAAACAUUAGGACCCGGCUGUCAGGGGACAAACAUGUAAGAAACAUGAGAACAGAGAGAACCCAACCAGUAGGUCACAGUUUAUCAUCAUCUAAUCAUCUCCUGAAGUCCAUAUGGUGAGAGACAUCAGUAUCUGGUUGUUAAUUUACCAGAGGAUGCUUAUAAUCAUGCUGCUGUGGUCUGUACUCUACAGUAUUUUAGAGACUCAAUAAAUGCCUAAGUUGUUUUUUUUUAAAUGCUUUUUAGUUUUUAAUAAACAUUUAACAGUCUAUAUGUAAUCAAUAAAUGGCCUUUGCCUAUCUUAAGAAAAAUUCACUCAGAACUCUGAUAUGUUAACAGUACUAAAUAAAUCAAUAAAUACAUGCAUACACACAUAAAUAAGUUUAUACAUUAACUGUGUUAAGAUGAGAUUUAGAUUUUAAAAAAGUUGUUUACGUUUUUGCAGAAUCCAGUAUUGCUCACUGGUUGGUCGUUACAUUUUGUUAGUUUGAUUUCACUGUUUAAAAUGAUGCCACCUCUUUUCAGACAGAACCUGUGAUAAUAAAACAAUACAAAAUUUUUAUUUCCAUGUUAAUAAAACACUUAAAUCUUUAAGUAUGGCUAAAUGCUUUUUUCAAAAUUAAAUAUAUCACUCCUUAGGUGGUAGUGGCCCCAAGUUCCGUAAAGUUGGAAAGAUAUUCACAGAUUCAGACUUCCAGCAUCAAUAACUCAUUAGAUAUAGGUUGUCAAAACAUAAACGAUGCCUCUUUCCCAUUGUUGCAAGGCAGACAAUGUGCUACAAGCCCAGUUUUAUCAAAAGUAGCUGUCUUUCAAGCUACAGGAAUAACAUUGGUGUCUAUGGAGUGAACAGGGUCCGUCUGCAAUUUGCAAAACCGCUGCAACAGUAAAGAGAGACAAAUAUUCAAUAACUUCACUCUUAUACAUUGUAGUGUCACUAAAAUCACUGCAGCCUUCAACUGGCUCCUGUUGACAAAGUGUUUUAACAGAAAUGUAAAUGCUGUAAUUUGAUUCUUUUAAUGAACCAUGUAACUUGAAUGGAUGUGAUGCUGGUGUGACCACAGUGCACAUGUCUGAUGUUGCUCACAGUGGUCCAAGGAACGCUCAGGGAGUUUGUGUGUUUGCUUCUUUUAUUCAUGUGCUAACAUAACUGCAGGGUUUUCUAAUCAUCAAUGAGCCUUUCAACACCAUUAGCUAACACAAUGUAGCAUUAGAACACAGGAGUGAUGGUUGCUGGAAAUGUUCCUCUGUACCCCUAUGGAGAUAUUCCAUUAAAAA